UUUUGUUAUUGCAUGCAAGGAUAAAUGCGUAAAUCAACUGCAGGUUUUAGCUAUAUGCAUAAGUUAAAUUAGUGUUUAACAAUACCUUCGAAAUCAAGCAUUGUUUCUGGAACCUUUAGGGAUAUUUGAACAAUUGUGAUAUUGUCAAACGCGCAAAAUCACGUUUAAACAUGGAUACAUCUGUAUGCGUGCGCAUACUUUUGAUCAUUAUAAGCAAUGUCUCAAUGGUUCUUCAAGUGAUAGGUCUGGUUGGGCAUAGCUGGUUUGGGUUUUCUUUAACCGUGGAUAACAAUGGACAGAAAAUGACACAAACCAUGCAUGGAGGUCUCCUGUACUUUUCACCACUGAAAGUCUGCCUAGAUGAUGGCAAUGGUUCUAGAUGUAGAACACCCGAACAAAUGACAAUACAGGAGAGAAGGUCAUUCGAAGCGACGAACCAGAUUCUAUCUCGGAGUGUUAUAAUACAGAGGUGUUUGGUUAUAACUGGGCUAACAUCAUCAUGUUGUGGUCUGAUAUUUCUGUUCAUAUAUCUCUUUAUCUUUAAGAAACUUUUCAAACAUAGAUGCUCCGGUAUAACAUCCGCAGUCUUCUGGAUAUUUGCUGGUAAGCUGCACUGCCUGAAUAUAUAGCUAUUGGUGUACAAAUAUUUGCCAACUUCAACAUGAAGAGUUCAAUCGAUGUUAUGGCUCUAUCUGAAGAUGCACUAGGGAUGCACGUUCAUGCAGAAUUUAUUACUCCUUGGGCAGUUAUUCUUCUAGGUGUUGGUUCGAGCUUUGCUGUAGUUACAGGGAUAAUAAUAGCCGUGACAAUGUGUAGGAAGCCUAUCAAUAAAACAGUCAUAUUGUACAGUAAACUACCGGACGGACAGACAGAUAAAGUACAGUUACUGGGACAGGAUAUUUUUAGAUGAUGACUAGGCUGAAA